rnacentral:rRNA from 1 species
GACGAACGCUGGCGGCGUGCCUAACACAUGCAAGUCGAACGGAGUUGAUCCUUCGGGAUUAACUUAGUGGCGGACGGGUGAGUAACGCGUGGGUAACCUGCCUCACACAGGGGGAUAACAGUUGGAAACGACUGCUAAUACCGCAUAAUGUACUUUGGGGGCAUCCCCGAGGUACCAAAGCUUUAUGUGCUGAAAGAUGGUCUCGCGUCUGAUUAGCUAGUUGGCGGGGUAACGGCCCACCAAGGCGACGAUCAGUAGCCGGUCUGAGAGGAUGAACGGCCACAUUGGGACUGAGAUACGGCCCAGACUCCUACGGGAGGCAGCAGUGAGGAAUAUUGGGCAAUGGGCGCAAGCCUGACCCAGCAAUGCCGCGUGAAGGAUGAAGGUUUCGGAUUGUAAACUUCUUUUAAGUAGGGACGAUAAUGACGGUACCUCUUGAAUAAGCCACGGCUAACUACGUG